CCUGAGUUUGAGUGUCUUCAAAGCCCAGGACACCUUUGGUAAAGGAUGUUCUCCAACUGGAGAGCUCGCAGGCCAGUGUUCCCCAGUUGUCAGUGUUUAUACUACAUUUUUUUAGAUUUGCCUUGAGACAGUCUUUAAACCUCUUUUGUUGACCACCAGCAUUACGCUUUCCAUUUUUAAGUUCGGAAUGAAGGUAAUUGCUUUGGAAGACGAUCAUCAGGCAUCCGCACAACAUGACCAGUCCAACGAAGUUGAUGUUGAAGAAUCAUUGCUUCAACACUGGUGAUCUUUGCUUCUUCCAGUACACUGGUAUUAGUUUGCCUGUCUUCUCAAGUGAUGUGUAAAAUUUUUCAGAGACACCGUUGAUGGAUUCUUUUGAGAAGCUGGAGCUGGUGUUUAUAAGUGGUCCAUGUUUCACAAGCAUAUAGUAAGGUUGGUAGUACAAUAGCUUUGUAAACAAGCAUUUUGGUUUCCCUGCGAAUGUCCCGGUCCUCAAACACUCUGCACUUCAAUCGGGAGAAAGCUGCACUCGCAGGGCUCGGGCGAUGCUGGAUUUCGGCAUCAGUGUUGGCCCUUGUGGAAAGAUAACUGCCUAGGUAGCAGAAGUGAUCGACAUUUUCCAACGUUACACCAUUGAGCUGGAUUUGUGGUGCUGCAGAGGGGUUAAUACCCUCCUCCAGGAUACCCUCCUCUGAAAUUGGAAUGAUUAGCCUUCACUGACACCUCCUUAUCGCAGUUGGCUAUUGACAUAACAAGAGUCUAAUUUCCUUCUUAUUACUCCUAAUUGCUCAUGGAUAGAUUGUGCUGUUCUGGCAAUCAGGAGAGCCUCGUUCUCUGCAAAGUUGGCAAUUUAAUCAUUGGAUAGUGUGGCUGGAUUUGGCUGUGGAAGGUUGGGAGGCCAAUAUGCAUUAACAAUGGUUUUCUCGUGGUUCAAAGCAUUGGGUAUAUCAGUAUAUCUGUGACGAGAAAUUAGUUCUUGCCUUUAUUUCCCCCCAAGAUUGCCAAUUUUCCUCCAGGAAUUCAUCCAUAAAAGGAGGAGUACUGCAGUGGCAGGUUUUGAACUCACAGCCCCAGGGUUGUUAACACCAUGCUCUCAGGGCCCAGCAUCAGCAGGUAGCAUUUCUGUGAAGAUUGUUUUUGGGCGUGUCUGUGUCAUGCCUAGCCCUGACCUUGUACAGUGUACCUCAGGUUAAGUACUUAAUUCAUUCCGGAGGUCCGUUCUUAACUUGAAACUGUUCUUAACCUGAAGCACCACUUUAGCUAAUGGGGCCUCCUGCUGCUGCCGUGCCGCCACUGCACAAUUUCUGUUCUCAUCCUGAAGCAAAGUUCUUAACCUGAGGUACUAUUUCUGGGUUAGCGGAGUCUGUAACCUGAAGCGUAUGUAACCUGAAGCGUAUGUAACCCGAGGUUCCACUGUAUUAGACAUGCAGGCCUCAGAGGAUGAGCCAGACAAACCACAGAACAAGGACUUUGAGGAGCAGGCAGGGCUCGCUGAAUCCAAUGGUGAGGAUCCUCUUGAAGGCUCUCCAAGUUGUUACCUCUGGAACUGUCAGAGCAGGAGCUGGAGCUGCCUAGAUCCCAUCCUCAAGAACACCAGCACCGAAAGCAUCAGGUUCUGGCGGAAGAGGGAUGUCACAGCAGGCAGUUACGGGUCCAGAGUUGUUGUUCUUCAACACAUGAGUAAGGGGUCUACUCAUGAUUAAGUGGAGGCAGGAUGCCUCUGAAUGCCAGUUGUUGAAAAUGGCAAGAGAGGAGAGUGUUGUUGUACUCAGGCAUCUGGCCAGCUGCUGUAAGCACAGGAUCCUGGUCUAGAAUGGUG
rnacentral:lncRNA from 1 species